UGGGGGAUAUUGCACAAUGGGCGAAAGCCUGAUGCAGCGACGCCGCGUGGGGGAUGAAGGCCUUCGGGUUGUAAACUUCUUUUGCUCUGAACAAGGCAUGCUCAUGGGUGUGUUGAGUGUAGGGGUUGAUUAGCGCCGGCUAACUACGUGCCAGCAGCCGCGGUAAUACGUAGGGCGCGAGCGUUGUCCGGAAUUAUUGGGCGUAAAGGGCUUGUAGGUGGCUGGUUGCGUCUGUCGUGAAAGCUCAUGGCUUAACUGUGGGUUUGCGGUGGGUACGGGCUGGCUUGAGUGCAGUAGGGGAGGCUGGAAUUCCUGGUGUAGCGGUGGAAUGCGCAGAUAUCAGGAGGAAUACCGGUGGCGAAGGCGGGUCUCUGGGCUGUUACUGACACUGAGGAGCGAAAGCAUGGGGAGCGAACAGG
rnacentral:rRNA from 1 species